GUAAGUACAAAUGCAGUUCUGUUGAUUCUCCCAUCUCCUUCUUAAGCCCUACAAAUGAGGACAAGCUAAGCAGAAAAUAGAGUUUUGUGUUCUUUCCUUUCUACUACUUUGCACCUCCUAAGCACAGUUUUGGUGACAUAUGGCACUUCUCCUAAAAAAAUGUCCUGCAAAGAAUCUCUGCCUGCCAUCUGAUGUAUCCAAGAAACUGAGUUCCUGUGGCCCAUUUCUGGAUUAACCCAACAUGAACUGAUGAAGGCCCAGGACAUGCACAAUUCUGCAGGUUAGUUAUGCUCAGCCAUAACAAUGUAAGGAUGCAUCUUGUUAUGGCUGACAGCAAUAUGGUAUGGGAGUCUGACCUGAUAUUUAGAAUAAAAUUAGCUGCUGGAAGGGAGAACAGGCAUUCUUAGUUCAGACAUGUAUUUUAGUAUUUGACUUUAUAAUUGAAAUAUUCCUUUAAUGUAGUUUUUAACUUGACCCAGCUGUGUUUUUAACACACACACUGGGGGUGGUGGGGAAACAUUAUCUGCAAUCAUAUCAUUCACUCCUCCUGGGUAAUGGGCAGGGGUGUGAUUUUUAGCUUACAGCAUAGCCCUACAACUCAACUGCCUGCAUAGAGUAAGUGGGAGUAAUGGAAAAGCUUCCUUUCUAAGUGUGCACGUCACUAGAAUGGGCAGAGAUGUUUCUUGUCAGCUCUUAAAUAUUUGCUGGCAGCAUCAAUACAGGGAUGAGUGUUGAGAUGUGGGAAUAAUGGGUUCGUUUCCAAGCUGUAUGGAGGAUGAAUCUAGAUGCCCCGCCGCCCUAUGUUAUAUAACAGUAUUAUAGUAUGUGAUUUCCCCUCUCCCUUUCCUGCAGCACAGCUCUCCCAGCCUCCCAGCCUGUGCUCAUCGCAGUGCUCUCUACAACAUGGCUCCUCCUCCCGAGCUGCCUGCCCAUUCCUUCUGGCCCGCAUCUCUUCCCUGUCCCUUGCUGGGGUAGCUGUAAUCCCCACAGGAAUGUGGCCCACGGCCUCGGGCAUGUGACUCCAGAGAGCUUCUGAUGGUGAAUGCAAAGCAGGAAAAAGCAAUCUUGUGACAUCUAGCAGCGUAGGAAGGGAAGCGCUGGGCAUCUGUGGGCUGUUCGGUGUGCGUGGCUGUCCAGCCACCUCAUCAGACAGAAAAACAGAGGCUAGACUUUUCGGCUGCAUGUGUUGUUUCCCUGUCCAUUGUGUCUGGGUGAUGUAUUCUCUGCCUGUGGUUUUAAUAAAUGUCUUUCUAAGCUACUUUCUGCUUCAGUCCCCUUCGGAAUAGCUCAUUCCAACUUGGCUGCUUCAGUAUGCUGAAGAUGUUAAGUCAGUUAUGUGGAAAAGGGGAAAAAAGAAAACUUCAUGUAGAACAUCUGAGAAAGCUGUAACUGUAUCUCUGUGAAGAUGCUAUAUGCUACACAGAAGUAUUUGCCAUGAGAAUCCCAAACUACUGCUAGGACCCAAGCUUGUGUUGGAUUCUAAUAAGCCUUUGCAGGUAGGAUGUCGCUGUGUUGUAGAGUACCCUGCAGAUUUCAACAAUUCCAGUGAAUUUCUGUUUGUGGAAACUGAGUUUUGUUCUACGUAGUAAGCACCCAUCUUAACCCUGCUGGAGCAGAACAGCCCUUUUCCUAGCAGAAACCAGAGCUGUUGUUGAUUAAUGUCUUGCUGAAAACUAAGUCUUUGCCAUCUGUUCCGCCCCCUCACUACGAAUGCCACUCUCAUUAUGUUGAUUAUGUAAUUAAAAAUGAAAAUAUAUUUUGGUAAGAGUGCUGCAUAGGCAUCUGUGCUUAUUCUUCUGUUCCUGUUCACUGCCCCCUGCCCCCGUCCCAUACAGAAGGGAAAAGACAACAAUUGUUCCACUCGGCAGUGGCUUUAUAUUGAAGCUGUCGCACUGGCUGCCAGACUGGUGCACGUCAUGGGAGCAGCCACUCGAGCCCCGCUGUGUCUGAGCUGCGGCUCCUUCGGAAACCCCGGCUAUUAGGUUCAUGAGAAAUCCGUGGCAGGAAGCUGACCCUUAAACCAAGGCUCCUUUAAGUUCUUGUGAUGGGUUAACUUGAAUCCAGAACAUGAAAAGAGAAGAGAAAGAGGCCUGGCUACUUCAUAAGAGAUAGUGUGACCUCUGAGAUCAGCGAGGCUGCUCAUGUUACAAAUAUGGCCUGUCUAUCUAAGGACCGAGGAAGAGAAAGAGAGGAGGGGUAGCCUUCUUGUAAGUGGGUUAGAGCAAUUACUGAGGUCUCUUACAGCAAAUUAAGUCGUUAGUGUGAGUCACGUUCCCUUUUUUCCUCUCUGCUGCCAAGUUUUAAGCAGUAACCAGACAGGGAGGAAAAAAAGGGAAAAGCAACAAUGGAGAAGAGUUGAACUGAAACAACCCUUCAUUCAGGGUAUUGUUUGACAUUUUAGUUCUGAUUGUACAUAGAGAUAAAGGACCUAUAAAUAUCCUGUCUGCUGAAAUUCCUUAUAACAACAUCGCCUGUCAGCUGAACAAAUAGGUUAGGUUCUCUAAAUACUACCUAAUUACACAUGUAAAUACAAAUUACUGAUUGUAUCCCUGCACCGCGUGGAAUGAAGGCCUGAUCACUGGGAGGAACAUUAAUCUCCUGUUUUACUGAGAUGCCCCAGUCCCAGGAGAGCAAAUGGCACAUACAGCUAUUACUGCUGAAUUGGUGCAAGUUCCGAGAUCAGACUGAAGCAAGCAAGGAGAUAUUUAUCUGGCUGAUGAACGUAGAUGAAAGCCUCUUCUGACGCUUCUGAAAGUAUCUCAGCAUCUAGUUCUGUUUAACAAAUGGCUGGAAGCUUUUCUACUCUGCUUCAGAGCUUUUAAUGAAGCAUUGUGAUUCCCAUUGUGGUCGACUGUUUGACAGUUUUAUUAUUACUGGUAUGCAUAGCGUUUUUUAAUGUUUGACAGCUGGAGAAAGAAGUAUUUUGUGCAUUCAAAUUUUUAGUACAAAGCUGCUGUUUUCUAUUCUGCCUUUGCCUUUGUCUCUUAUUGCUGAUGCGAAUCAAUGAAAGACAGAACUGAUGAAAUUACAUUUGUUUACUUUUUACUUGAUAAUAAUAAGACACAGCCAGCCCUUUGUAAAAGACAGAAAUGGGGGAUGUGAAUGUUUCUACAGUAUUUCUGUGUGUUUUUUUUUUCUUAUAGCAUAAAGGCAUUUAUUUGUUUCUUAUGUCUUGAUUUAUAAGAUAAUGUGCACUUCCUAAUGUAUGUGGAAUAAGAAUGGAGCAAUGAAUGACAGUUAGCAAUGGAUUCCACUUGAAAAUCUCUUAGCUUGUUAUUUUUAUUAAUUCAACAGCAUAAACGCUCGUAGCACAUCACAAAACAAACACCAAGAUAGUUCUGUGAUUCACAGUAGGACUGCCUCUGAUCACUGCUGUAUAUUUGUAUGUAGCUACACAAAAAAGUCCAGUCCACUGGCUUUGGCUUUAUACACACGUGAUUGUUACCAGGCCCCAGCUUUGAUAUAUUGGUACAAUACUGGAAAGAAACAAGCUGCAGAAAUCAGAUAUCCAUGGUUGUUUUGGUUGUGCCUUCCCUCAGAAGAGGACACGCUGAAUACGGAGUGAUUAAGACAGAUGCCUGGACAGGUGAAGGGAGGUGUUCCAGCAGUGGCAGUGCACACAGCAGAGGAGGGAACAAAUUGCUGCAAGACUGCAGGAGCCCAGGAGGAUGUUGCCAUGGGCAUAUGUUUAUCCAAAUUGGGUUUUGAUAAGAAGACUGCAGCUGGAUCUUUAUUAUCUGAGACAAGUGGCGAUAUUAGCUGUUCAGAGUUCAUGAUGGAAAUGUAUCUGCAUACUGGCGUGCAUCCAGCUGCACUUCACAAAGAAGGCAUCUUGUCGUGGGGCUCUGCAUAUCUGAAGUAAUAACCGCUGAUGUCAGCAACUGAUGAUAUCAAAAACAGAGAGAUCAGGAGGCUGAUAUUACACGCUAAGUCUGUUCUGUAAAAUCUCAGUAGCCUUUUGGUGCAUGGAACUUCGGCACACGCAAACUGUGACUGCAGCGACGUCCUCCUUGUUUACAGAAUUGGAAGUCUUGAGCAAAGCGAAGCUGACUCGUGGAGAAGCUGGUUUUCAAAAGAUACAAGCUCCAGAUAACUAAGGACAAGUGAAGCACACAACAAUAUAGAAAUCACUCGGUUUUACUGCAGCCAACUGAGACAAAGUGUGCUUUGAAGCUGGGAAAUUUCCAUUACUGAAGUGCAGGACAGUGCCUGGAUACUGCUGCUACUGCAGCUGAGAAAUAAAAGCAACUUAAUUUUACAUAGCAGCAAAAUGUCAGUAUGUUAAUUACAACUGUUAGAGUUUUAUAAGAUUUUAAGGAUGCCGUAAAAUGGAUUCCUUCUAAAAUAUUUAGGAUAUAAUUGUAAAUGACUUCUCUAAAACUAAGGAGCAUUAAAAGGACUUGAAAUUGUACCUAAGUUUUCAAGCUGUAUCAUAUUUGUGAACAUCAGAUCUGACAAGAACAUGACACGACAUCCCCUACGACAGUGACAGUGUGACAGCGGCAGAACGACAUCCAGUGUGAGUCCAAGGUUGUUACGGACAGCGUAGUUCUGCAGUUAAGGACUGUUUUUGCUCUCCGUGGGGUGCUCAAAACAAAUAUAGCUAUCUGUUCACCACUUUUAAGUCCAUAAUCUAUAAACCACCAUAAGCUUCCUGUAAAGUCAGUCAGAAUGCUGAGCAGAGAAGAAACGAAAUACUGGGGGCAAAAAAAAGUGAGUUCAUUUUGGCAUCAAUCAAAUUGCCCUGCACUUUGGGCAAGAUACUGCAUUUAACUUCCCAAUGGCAUAAAAUUGCAGAGAUGCUCAUUUAAGCCCGAGGUCACUUCACA
ensembl:lncRNA